rnacentral:misc_RNA from 1 species
AACGAGGCCGACCUGCGGCUGAGUUACCUGCGGAGGGAUCAUUACUGAGGAACUGUGUAUAGGGGGGGAUGUGGGUCUACUUUUUGUGGAUUUCCCCCUCCCCUUUCACCCUCUCACAUUAUGUUUUUUUUAUUUUAUUUUUUAUUGCUUCGGUAGGACGUUGGUUUCGUUUUGUUUAAACGAAAUUCACCACUGGCUUUUUUUUUAAAGCGGGUGUGAGCCUACCGAAGAACCAAACUC